UACAGAGGGUGCAAGCGUUGUUCGGAAUUAUUGGGCGUAAAGAGCUUGUAGGCGGUUUGUCGCGUCUGCUGUGAAAAUCCGGGGCUCAACCCCGGACUUGCAGUGGGUACGGGCAGACUAGAGUGUGGUAGGGGAGACUGGAAUUCCUGGUGUAGCGGUGAAAUGCGCAGAUAUCAGGAGGAACACCGAUGGCGAAGGCAGGUCUCUGGGCCGAAAUUGACGCUGAGGAGCGAAAGCGUGGGGAGCAAACAGG
rnacentral:rRNA from 1 species